GAAGGGGAAGGGAUAGGCGGAAGGGCGACUCAAAGUCUCAAGAUGGCUAAAUCCGCCGAACAGGAUUGCAUCGCCGCCCUCCUCUGUUUGGCGGCGCAGCUGGGCAUAUCCGAUUCGCCGCCCUCUCCAUCGCUUACUCUCUCCACUAACUCUGGCCAUCCUUCUUCUUUUACCUCCUCGUUUCCUUGUUUGGGUCAUUCCCUUUUCGUCUUCUACUUCCCCGAUGCCGGCGGCCGAGGACUGGCCGCUGCCCGAGACCUCGAGAAGGGCGAGCUGAUUCUAAGAGUACCAAAGGCUGCUCUUUUUACAACGGAUAGCGCGAUGGCUGAUGCCAAAUUGGCGUCUUGCCUUGAGAGGCAUCGACAUCGCCUCUCCCCCGUUCAGAUGCUAGCAGUAUCCCUGUUGGCUGAAGUGGGAAAAGGAAGAAGUUCUCAGUGGUACCCUUACUUGGAGAAUUUACCUCGUAGUUAUGAUACAUUAGCUAACUUCACCAAUUUUGAAGUUAAAGCUUUUCAAGUUGAAGAUGCUAUUGGAGCUUCUGAGAAAGCCAUUGCUCUGGCAAAGUCAGACUGGAAAGAGGCUGUUGGCGUCUUGAAGGAAUUGGACCUUAAGCCUCAAUUUUUAACUUUUAGUUCCUGGCGUUGGGCUUCAGCAACUGUAUCCUCUCGGACAUUGCACAUACCCUGGGACAGUGCUGGUUGCUUAUGCCCCAUCGGCGAUUUGUUUAAUUAUGCUGCACCUGAUGAAGAACAUUCUCCUGAAAACUCAGAAGAUACACAUCCUGAUGUCCCAGUAUCGAGGUUAACUGAUGGUGGAUAUGAGGAAAGUAAAAGUUCAUACUGCUUUUAUGCAAGAAAAAAUUACAAGCAAGGAGAGCAGGUACUUCUUGGGUAUGGGACCUAUACUAACUUAGAGCUUCUAGAACAUUAUGGUUUUCUAUUGAAAGAAAAUCCAAAUGACAAGGUGUUCAUUGACUUAAAUGGAGGAAUGUGCACAUCAACUAGUUGGCCUAAAGAUUCUCUUUACAUCCAACCGGAUGGAACUCCUUCAUUUGCCUUGUUAUGUGCUUUACGCUUGUGGGCUACUCCGGCAAAACUACGUAAGACAAUUGGGAGUCGAAUUUAUAGUGGAUCAUUAGUGUCGGUGGAAAAUGAGCGUUUGAUCAUGAAAUGGUUAGCUAAACGCUGCACAUGUAUAUUAGGAAGGUUGAACACUACAAUUGGUGAAGAUAACAGGCUACUUAGCAAGAUUGACAGAAUGAUUGACCAGUAUUCUUGUCUAGGAUCGACAGAGACUCUCUAUCAGGACAACGAAAUUAGGGACUUUUUUCAAGCACAUGGCAUCAAAGAGGAAGGGUAUGAUCAUAUUCAACUGCUGAAAGUUAGGAGGUAUCUGGAGAGAUGGAAAUUGGCCAUUGAAUGGAGGGUGGCCUAUAAGAAGAUUCUUCAAAGCUGUGUUUUUUACUGUGAAAACAUGGUUUGCUGCCUACCUAUCAAGCAUGCUUAACAGACAGAUCAGUAUAUCAUGGAUUUCAUUGGAGAUAUUAAAGAUGUAUCAUCUUUACCGACUCAACUAAUUAUGGAGGUGGAUGGUCUUCUCCCAAUUCGUCCAUUAGGUAUUUUUAAUGAAAAGGUUAAAGCUAGGGGAGGAACGUACCGGCGCUGCCGUCCUCUCUAGCCUCCGUCGCAGAGGCGGCGGAGGUGGAAGCGCAUGAAUUCUCGGAGCUCGCUCCGUGCCGCGGCGACGGCUGGGCAGCGGGGGCCGCGACGACGAGGACCCGGCGGCAGAAGGGGCAGCUGGAACGGGACAUGAGCCAGGUGUCGACGCACCCGACGUGGAAUCCGUGUCCGCACUGUGGCAAGAUGCGGAUCUCGUCGCCACCCACGAACUCCGCGAGGCAAAUUGGGCACUCGGCGGGCUUCGCGUCCGCCGAGGCGGCGUAAGCGACCUUGGGAAGAUCCCCGAGCGCCUUCUUCUUGAGCCCCUUGCACGGCGGCGCUGCGGAGGCUCCCCGGCGGAGACAGGAGCAACGGGCCACGAGCGCGAGCCCGACAAGGCAGAUCAGCGCGCAGAGAAGCGCCGCGAGGAUCACCACCACGUCGGAGUCUACUGCGAACGGAUCCGAUGGCUGGGUCGCCGGUAGCACAUCGGAGUUCGCCUGCAGGAUUCUCGCCGCCCGGGGCAUUGGCGUAUCGAAGAGAAGGGCGUGCGACUGUGGAGUGAGCUCACAGCUGUUGGGAUUCGAUAACAAUUAAUUGCCUUGAAAUAAAUAAUAAAGUAUAAUUUCCGUUUUGCUAUCUAUAA